rnacentral:tRNA from 1 species
GUGCAGAAGUUAAUGGUUAAACGCCGGCCGAUUAAAGCAGUACUCUUAAAGCCGGAGUCUGGGUUCGAUUCCUAGCUGUACACCA